rnacentral:tRNA from 1 species
CAGGAGGUAGUUCAAUAGAAUCUCGGUUCUGGGGGCCGAUGGUGAGGAUGUAGAGCUCCUUUCUUCUUA